GUCCCCGCCGCCGCCGCUCUUCCUUCUUAUUUCUCCUCGUCCUCCUCCGCCUCCUCCACCCCGCCCUCCUCUUCCUGCGCGAUGCGGGGCUCGCUUUCCCGGCGUGCCCUGCGCGGCCGUUCUCCGCCGUCCCCUCUGACCUCGCAGGGCCCGUCGUCGUUCUCGCAUCCGGGCUCUCCGCGCCACACGGGGAAGAUGGCGGCGGCGACAUCCGCGAUGGUGGCGGCAGCGGCGGUGGCGCUCCCGGCCGAAUGGAUCCGCAACUGGGAGAAAUCCGGCAAGAGCGAGUUCUUGCAGCUGUGUCGCGCUCUUUCUGAAAAUGCAACUUUUAGAGGUGUCCAGCAGGCCCUCUAUGAGCUUGCGUAUCAUGUCGUCAAGGGAAAUUUAAAGCACGACCAAGCAUCAAAUGUUCUUAAUGAUAUUAUAGAAUUUCGGGAUGAUAUGCCUUCCAUUCUGGCAGAUGUAUUCUGCAUAUUAGACAUCGAAACCAGUUGUUUAGAAGAAAAGAGCAAAAGAGACCAGUUCAUGCAGCUGGUGUUGGCUUGUUUGAACCUGGUUUCCGAUACUAUAUUAAAAGAGCGUCUGGAUCCAGAAACUCUGGAAUCAUUAGGGCUUAUCAAGCAGUCCCAGCAGUUUAAUCAGAAAUCUGUGAAAAUAAAGACAAAACUUUUUUAUAAGCAACAGAAAUUUAAUUUAUUAAGAGAAGAGAACGAAGGCUAUGCAAAACUGAUUGCUGAACUGGGACAAGAUUUAUCUGGAAAUAUCACUAGUGAAUUGAUCCUAGAAAAUAUUAAAUCUUUAAUAGGAUGUUUUAACCUGGAUCCUAACCGAGUGUUGGAUAUUAUCUUGGAAGUCUACGAAUGUCGACCAGAAUAUGAUGAAUUUUUUGUACCUUUGAUAGAGUCGUAUAUGUAUAUGUGUGAACCUCAAACACUCUGCCAUAUACUUGGAUUCAAAUUCAAGUUUUAUCAGGAACCAAAUGGCGAGACCCCAGUGUCUUUGUACAGAGUCGCUGCAAUCCUUUUGCAACAUAACUUAAUAGAUCUGGAAGAUCUUUAUGUGCACCUCCUGCCGUCCGACCACGCUAUCCUCGAGGAACACAGGCGGGAAAUCGGGGAGGCGAAGCAAAUUGUAAGGAAACUUACCAUGGUUGUGCUCUCUUCCGAAAAGACGGAAGAGAAAGAGAAAGAGAAGGAGAAGGAAGAGGAGAAAAUGGAAAAGCCACCAGAUAACCAGAAACUGGGUUUAUUAGAAGCCAUGUUAAAAAUCGGUGAUUGGCAGCACGCGCAAAGCAUUAUGGACCAGAUGCCUCCGUUUUACGCAACUUCACACAAACCCAUCGCUCUCGCUCUUUGCCAGCUUCUCCAUGUGAUGAUCGAGCCUCUCUAUCGAAGGGUCGGAGUCCUCAAAGGUGCCAAAGGAACCCCAGUUCCCCCUUUGCAAAACAAGAGGGCCCCAAAGCCAGUCGAACAUUUUGAAGACUUAAGGAAAGAAGUGUUCAACAUGCUUUGCUAUCUCGGCCCGCAUCUCUCCCACGAUCCCAUUCUCUUCGCAAAAGUCUUGCGACUUGGGAAAGCCUUCAUGAAAGAGUACCAGUUGGACGGAAACAAACAAGAGGACAGAGAGAAAACGGAGAUACUAUUCAGCUGCUUGCUGAGUAUCACUGACCAGGUUCUGCUUCCUUCUCUUUCUCUAAUGGACUGUAACGCAUGCAUGUCUGAGGAACUCUGGGGGAUGUUUAAAACAUUUCCAUACCAGCACCGGUAUCGUCUCUACGGCCAGUGGAAGAACGAAACGUACAACAGCCAUCCACUUCUAGUGAAAGUUAAAGCUCAGAUAAUUGACAGAGCCAAAUAUAUAAUGAAGCGUUUAACGAAGGAGAACGUAAAACCUUCUGGAAGACAAAUUGGGAAACUGAGUCACAGCAACCCAACCAUUUUAUUUGACUAUAUUUUGUCGCAGAUCCAGAAAUACGAUAAUUUAAUAACUCCAGUUGUUGAUUCAUUGAAAUACCUCACUUCACUAAACUAUGAUGUUUUGGCUUAUUGCAUAAUUGAAGCAUUGGCAAAUCCCGAGAAGGAGAGAAUGAAACACGACGACACUACAAUCUCCAGUUGGCUUCAGAGCUUAGCGAGUUUUUGCGGUGCUGUUUUUCGAAAAUACCCAAUAGAACUUGCCGGACUCCUCCAGUAUGUGGCAAAUCAACUCAAGGCGGGAAAAAGUUUUGACCUCCUCAUUUUGAAAGAAGUGGUACAAAAAAUGGCCGGAAUUGAAAUCACUGAAGAAAUGACCAUGGAACAGCUAGAAGCCAUGACUGGUGGGGAGCAGCUGAAAGCAGAGGGAGGAUAUUUCGGGCAGAUCAGGAACACGAAGAAAUCUUCUCAGAGAUUAAAAGAUGCCCUUCUGGACCACGAUCUCGCCCUCCCACUGUGCCUUCUCAUGGCUCAGCAGCGCAACGGCGUCAUCUUUCAAGAAGGAGGGGAGAAACAUUUGAAGCUGGUGGGGAAGCUCUACGAUCAGUGCCACGACACUUUGGUACAAUUUGGUGGAUUUCUGGCGUCUAAUUUAAGCACAGAGGACUAUAUUAAGCGAGUGCCUUCUAUCGAUGUCCUCUGUAACGAAUUUCACACUCCUCAUGACGCUGCUUUCUUCCUUUCAAGACCUAUGUACGCGCACCACAUUUCGUCAAAGUACGACGAGUUAAAGAAAGCGGAAAAAGGGAAUAAACAGCAGCAGAAAGUCCACAAAUACAUCACGUCCUGCGAGCUGGUGAUGGCGCCUGUUCACGAUGCGGUCAUCUCCUUGCACCUCCCGAAGGUCUGGGAUGAUAUCAGUCCCCAGUUCUAUGCCACCUUCUGGUCCCUGACCAUGUACGACCUUGCGGUGCCCCGGGGUAGCUACGAACGGGAAGUCAACAAACUCAAAAUCCAGAUGAAAGCCAUCGACGACAAUCAAGACAUGCCUCCCAAUAAAAAGAAGAAAGAAAAAGAACGCUGCACAGCCCUUCAGGAUAAACUUCUCGAAGAGGAAAAGAAGCAGUUGGAUCACGUGGAACGGGUGUUGCAAAGGUUGAAGCUUGAAAAGGACAACUGGCUCCUUGCGAAAUCGACGAAAAACGAGACCAUAACCAAGUUUCUGCAGCUGUGUAUAUUUCCUCGCUGUAUCUUUUCUGCCAUUGAUGCUGUUUAUUGUGCUCGCUUUGUGGAACUGGUGCAUCAACAGAAGACACCCAAUUUUUCCACACUGCUUUGUUAUGACCGAGUCUUCUCCGAUAUCAUCUACACAGUAGCCAGCUGCACUGAAAAUGAAGCCAGCCGAUACGGUAGAUUUUUGUGCUGCAUGCUAGAUACCGUAACCCAGUGGCACAGUGACAAAAGCGUAUAUGAAAAGGAAUGUGGUAACUAUCCAGGCUUCAUCACUGUACUGCGAUCCAGCGGUUACGAUGCUGUGAACAAAGCCGACCAGUUAGACUACGAAAAUUUCCGACACGUGGUGCACAAAUGGCAUUACAAGUUAACCAAGGCGUCUGUACACUGUCUGGAAACCGGGGAAUAUACGCAUAUCAGAAAUAUCCUGAUUGUGCUGACCAAAAUUUUGCCGUGGUAUCCAAAGGUCGUGAAUCUGGGACAAGCUUUGGAAAGAAGAGUCCGUAAGAUUUACGAAGAGGAGAAAGAAAAGAGACCAGACCUAUAUGCGUUAGCCAUGGGCUAUUCUGGCCAACUGAAAAGUAGAAAAAUGGUUCCUGAAAACGAUUUCCAUCAGAAGGACCUUCCGACCCGGAACGCAGUGCCCACCAUGGUUCAAAACGGGCCAGGGGGAGCAGGGCUGCCUCCGCUCACGAUAAACGCCGCUAAAUUGGAAGAAAGCACCGCCGAGGAGACAGAUAAGUUGAAGGAGAAGUCUCAGGGCGCGGUUAAAGUGGUCAGCAAAGCCGCCAACGCGACGCCCAAGGUGAUCGCCAGCAAUGGAAACACCAGCAAACUUGUCAAAGAGAAAGAGGACAAAGAGAAAUGCGGGAAGGAGAAAGAGAAGGAGAAGAAAGAGAAAGUCCCCGCUGGCACUCCUGAAGCGAAAUUACUCGGAAAAGACGGGAAGGAUAAGCCAAAGGAAGAGAGGGCGAACAAAGAAGAGAAGGCACGAGAAGCUAAGGAAAAGACACCGAAGGCUGACAAAGAGAAGGAGAAAAUCAAGAGAGAAGAAAAACCACCCAAAGAGGAAAAAUCCAAGAUACUUGUGACCAACGCCGAGUCCAAAUCAAUGGCGGAAAAGGAGAGAGAGAAGGAGCCAUCGAGAGAGAGAGAAGUGGCCAAGGAGAUGAAAUCGAAGGAAGUCAUUAGAGGAGGCGGGGCAGGAGGAGGAGGAGGUGGAGGAGAGAAGAUUCCAAUUGCUGGGUCCUUGAAGUCACCUGUUCCCCGGUCAGAAACUUCAGAUUCCGAAAGGGAACAAAAACGUCGCAAAAUAGAUACCCAUUCUUCUCCAUCACAUUCCUCAAGUGUAAAGGUUAGUAUGGCCUGAGGAAGGCAUCGCCCAUUUUCUAGGCUCUCAUCUAACACGGAAUGCCAGUGUCAACUUCCUUCCUUCAAGCCUGGUGCCAAGUUGAAGCCUUUGGAGGUUAUAUAUAUAUAUAAUAUAUAUAUUUUUCCCCGAUGCAUUUUAAAAACAAAACAAAAUGCAUUCCUUUUGAUGGAUCGGUGGACUCUUUUUUUUCUUUUCUUUUUUUGCCAUUUUCAAGAGUAAAUAAAUCGAAACCUCUCUUUUUUAUUAUUAUUAUUGUUAGAGGAAAAAAAGAAAGAAAGAAAUUAAAGCUUCAAGGACCUAGCACAAAGCGUUGUAAAUAGAGUAUGGAAAUAUCAAGAUUAUUUUUUUUCAUUUUUUUAAAAAAGUGCAAACCAAGCCAGAAGUGCCUCGCCAUUUUUAAACAGCCAGAUAUAUAUAUAUAUAUAUACAUAUGUAUAUAUACAUAUAUACGUAUAGAUUUUUGGAGUGCAGUGGUAGCUACAAGCCAACGAAAUCUCUCGCAGCACGCCGAGCGGAGCGUGAGGGUUUUUUGUUUUUGGUGGUUGUUGUUUUUUUCCUGCCUUGAUCGGGAAGAAUCGAUUGGUAAACUUCGAAGAAUUCGUGGAGAAAACCGGGAAAGCGGAGGCGUCUUACUAUAUCUUCAUCGGGCUGCCUGUUGAACGUCUUCCAGCUGAGCCGAGAGAAGCCUUUGAAAAGUCUUGAAAAGUCCUGGUUUAUUUUUUUUUUAAAAAUAAGCCGCCUUGAUGAUCAGUUCUCCUGUAGUUGUGUAUAUCCAGGCAGCCCACAUGCCGACCUCCUUGCGAGGUUUGUUUAUAUUCCACUGAAUUACCACCCUGUUGAGCCCUGCGCUCUGCGUUAAACGAGAUGUGGCAGCCCAAUCUUCCACUCAAGAAGCCGAGAAAAAAAAAACACCAAAAAACCAGCAGCCGAGCACAGCGCAAACCUCUAAAACAAAAACCCUUCCUGGCUGCAGCCUUCUUGGAAGACUCAGGGUAGCAAUUCCUUGCUCCGUGUUUUAUUUCCUUUUUUUUUUUAUUUCCCCCCAAAAAAACCACCCAUCCUCAUGGAUUCUUUGAGUUUGCAGUACGUUGAAGCAUUGCAACUGACAACCUCAGCGAACUCAAGGAUUCCGCAGUUAAGGUUUGAGUCUUUCUCCCCACCCCACCCCCCUUUCGCCUUCCGAUUUUUAACAAUUGCUUUUGCAGUGACGGCGAGGUCCUUCAAAGCUUUGGCGAAGGAACGCAGCGCAGCUUGGCCAGGUUGUAAGUGGUGUAUGGUUGUGCCAGGCGGCGUUGUCUUGUUUUGACCUAGGCCCAAGUAGUUAUUACCAGACACAAUCAGUUCCUAAAAUAAACGUAUUUUAUUAGAACAGCUGAGAAUUACUUCAUUCUCAGCUUAAUCCAAAUUAAUUCCAAAACGAAGUCCUUCAGAAAAAGUCCUUUGGCCUCAUCACAAACCUCUGUCUUUUUUGGCACCGUGCCAAAAGUUUUCUUGGCAAAGCCCCAUGAAGUUCAGAAACGAGACGCUGACUAGAAAUAAAUGUAGCAAUGUUGCUUUCCGACAAAGUGCCCAAGAGCCGUUGCUGCUCUUUUAAGCCUUAUGGGAGGGGCCAAUCAUCUCCUGGCCUUAAUCCUGAGUCGUCCUUUUUGCUUUAGCUGCUCUUGCCUUCUGGCAGCUCCCGCCCACCCGCCCCAGCACUAUGCCGUCCUAUUUAGCCACAUUUUUAAGGCAUCCGCAUGCAUGCAAAGCCGCACGUGCAAAGCGCGUGCACGGAUGGCCAUGUGCAUGUGUGGACAGUGCACAAGCGAAGUGAGCACGCGCACACGCGCGCUCACAUGUUCGGUGCUGGGCGAACUGGUUGUUAAAUUAUGCGAAGCCCACUUCUGCUUCCAAGCAUAUGGUGGUGUGCGACCUUCCAGAAUGCGUCCUCUCAGAAUCUACCUUCUGUGACGUAAAGGAAUCGGUUGGUCCUUCAAACUUCAGCAGCCGUUUCUGUAAUUAUGGCCAAGUGCAGGAUUUAUGAUUUCAUUAGGAAAGAAACGCAAGUGUUUUUGAUGAUGGAUCUAUCUAAGGUUACGUUGCCUUCCCACUGUACACGAAAACAAACCAGAAGGAAACCAGAAAGUUGGCUUGGGAGACCAACGUGGCUAGAACAAAGCUGAAGAUGCUUGUGACCCAAAUGAGCUGCUGUGGCUGCUUGUUUUAAAUAACUCGCAGGCAAUAUUAGGAACGUGACUGAAUGCCUCUUUCCAUCCUCGUUUUUCCUCUUUAUUACAGACUUAGGAAAUUUAAGGUGCCUUCAAAGCAAUCUCAGCGCUCUUGAGAGGGGAUUUUAUUGUCAUGGUUAACAACAACAACAACAAAAUAACGAAUUUCUCAGUUGCAUUUUGUAAUCCUUCACUGUAUUUCCAGCAUGAUAUGAGACAAUCUACCUGGGAGAGAGAGAGAACUAGACCAGCAUUUUGGUGCAAGAUGGAGUGAAUUGCCUUCGGAAGCGAUGUAGUAAUUUUUGAUCUUGCUUUGACUUAACAGCACUACGUUAACCACUCCGCUCCGGCAUUGUCCAAAAGUAAGGAGAGGGAAGUAGAAAAGAAAGAUUUGGACAAAUCAAGGGAAAGAUCCAGAGAGAGAGAAAAGAAGGAUGAAAAGGAAAGGAAAGACCGAAAAAG